CCUACGGGGGGCUGCAGUGGGGAAUAUUGGACAAUGGGCGAAAGCCUGAUCCAGCCAUGCCGCGUGUGUGAAGAAGGCCUUCGGGUUGUAAAGCACUUUCAGUGGGGAAGAAAGCCUUGGGGCUAAUACCCUCGAGGAAGGACAUCACCCACAGAAGAAGCACCGGCUAACUCCGUGCCAGCAGCCGCGGUAAUACGGAGGGUGCGAGCGUUAAUCGGAAUUACUGGGCGUAAAGCGCGCGUAGGCGGUCUGAUAAGCCGGUUUUGAAAGCCCCGGGCUCAACCUGGGAACGGCAUCCGGAACUGUCAGGCUAGAGUGCAGGAGAGGAAGGUAGAAUUCCCGGUGUAGCGGUGAAAUGCGUAGAGAUCGGGAGGAAUACCAGUGGCGAAGGCGGCCUUCUGGACUGACACUGACGCUGAGGUGCGAAAGCGUGGGUAGCAAACAGGAUUAGAUACCCGGGUAGUC
rnacentral:rRNA from 1 species